rnacentral:misc_RNA from 1 species
GCCAAGAGCAGCAUCCACCGUCUCAGGUUUUCUAUCAUUCUCUCUUUUUAUCUUUUUCCUACCAUCGGUACCUGACUUAACCUCUGGCACUAAUUUUUUGGCACUUGCUUUUUUAACAGUUGGAUCACUGGUAGUAUCACUAGUUCCUUGAAUUUCAUGUCCACCCCCAGCUCUCUUCUUUACCAGCUUUGCUUUGUGUCCAUUUGUCAGCUGCUUCCGACCACUAUCAAGCUGCUUCACGUCAUUAGAUGAUGUAGGAGGAUGAAAAUCUGCAUCAGGAAAAUGACUCCUCUCAGCAGUUCUCAAGUUCUCCUUGUGGAUCAAUUGCUUAUCAUGUUCAAUGGGAUCGCUGUUUUCCU